UUUACAUUUAGUCUCUUUAUUGUUAUUUUUUCCUUUUUGUUGAUUGUCCUAUUGAUGAUCGAUUGCAAGUAAUAUAUAGCCAAUGGUCCUGUGUGCAAUGGGAAGAAGUCUGAUGUUAUUUUUUAAUGGAGAAGAGCAAUAAUAUUGGUCUUCAUUUUUUUAAUUGGUAAAAGUUACAUGCAUUUUGAGGUUUUAGGAGUUUAAACUAACACCUUUUGUUUUCUUUUGUAUUGAUUUUUGGGGAUGGAUUUGCCAUUGCAGCUGGAGGGUGAUACUAAAGGACCUGCCAAGGCUGGCGAUGGAUUUGGCAAAAAGGAUGUGGUUGUAGUGCAGCCUGGCCCUAGCAACCAGAUUGCUCAUCAUAGUUCUUUUACUCAAGGAAUGAGCUAUAUGCAUUCUCAGAACUUGUUCGGGGGAAAGGCCAUCAAGUACUCCUGUAGGAAGCUCUCUGAACCAGGCCUUAAUUAGACCUGCUAGGCAAUGAACAUCAAUGUCAUCAGAGUCACAGACAGCGUAUCUCCAUUUAUUCAAGGUGAAGUUUUUCCAAUAUCCCAAUUGUCAUGUUUUGUUGGCAAGCAUAGGAAAGAUCACCAAGAGAUACAGUACCCUGCCAUUUUUAUUUUAUUUUUCAAUAAUUCAUUUGCAGGCUCAUGUACUGGACUAAUGAGUCAUAACUUACCUCAUAUUCCAUGGUGAUACAGAACAUUGAUCAUCCUGAUGUGUUCAUUGAAGUUAUAUUCUGACGAAACUGUGCGAGUUCACUAAUUUGCCUCAUAUAACAUCUUGUAACCCCUUUUAACCAAGUCAGAUGACUGUCAGAGAACUGUGAUUUCAACAUAAAUUGUUCUGGGCACUGACUUUGAAUAGUUCACACAUGCAUUGGAUUACUUCAAUAUCUUGGUCUAGUCCUGCAUCAAUAUAAAAGAAACUUAGUUCUUAUGCAUAUUUGAAUUGGUUGAAAUGUAUGGAAAAUUCAACUCCCAAAAAUUUGCCACAAAGGACUUGUAUUGGACUUGCAGUCUAUGAACUCUUCAUGAAGGUCAGGAAAAAAAAUAAUAUUACCUACCUUUUCCUUGUUCUUUAUACCUGGUUCUCUCUAUAUGUUAUCAAUGUGCUUUUAUGAAGCUGGUUGUAUUCUUUGCAUUAAUAUAUAAUUCUAUAAAAAACUGAUCAUCUACAACCACUUGUAUGCAAUAACCCUUUCUUCUUCUUCCUCUUGCCCUUUCAGUCCUGUAUUAUAAUAUGGGAAAGUAUCCAGUGCUUAAUGCUUACAUUAAAGUUGGUUGUCAAGUACUCUUAUCUUGAUACACAGCAUACGUGGACGCCAAGGCAUUCAUCUAGCCCUAGUGCAGGUGGGCCAUUCUCCAACACUCGUAAUGGUUUGGAUAAUCCUAACCACUAAUUUUAGGGUUUUCUUUUUUAAUCAAACUAAAGACUAUUUUUCAGUUUUUUUUUUUG